GGUUAAGCGACUAAGCGUACACGGUGGAUGCCCUGGCAGUCAGAGGCGAUGAAGGACGUGCUAAUCUGCGAUAAGCGUCGGUAAGGUGAUAUGAACCGUUAUAACCGGCGAUUUCCGAAUGGGGAAACCCAGUGUGUUUCGACACACUAUCAUUAACUGAAUCCAUAGGUUAAUGAGGCGAACCGGGGGAACUGAAACAUCUAAGUACCCCGAGGAAAAGAAAUCAACCGAGAUUCCCCCAGUAGCGGCGAGCGAACGGGGAGCAGCCCAGAGCCUGAAUCAGUAUGUGUGUUAGUGGAAGCGUCUGGAAAGGCGCGCGAUACAGGGUGACAGCCCCGUACACAAAAAUGCACAUAUUGUGAGCUCGAUGAGUAGGGCGGGACACGUGGUAUCCUGUCUGAAUAUGGGGGGACCAUCCUCCAAGGCUAAAUACUCCUGACUGACCGAUAGUGAACCAGUACCGUGAGGGAAAGGCGAAAAGAACCCCGGCGAGGGGAGUGAAAAAGAACCUGAAACCGUGUACGUACAAGCAGUGGGAGCACGCUUAGGCGUGUGACUGCGUACCUUUUGUAUAAUGGGUCAGCGACUUAUAUUCUGUAGCAAGGUUAACCGAAUAGGGGAGCCGAAGGGAAACCGAGUCUUAACUGGGCGUUAAGUUGCAGGGUAUAGACCCGAAACCCGGUGAUCUAGCCAUGGGCAGGUUGAAGGUUGGGUAACACUAACUGGAGGACCGAACCGACUAAUGUUGAAAAAUUAGCGGAUGACUUGUGGCUGGGGGUGAAAGGCCAAUCAAACCGGGAGAUAGCUGGUUCUCCCCGAAAGCUAUUUAGGUAGCGCCUCGUGAAUUCAUCUCCGGGGGUAGAGCACUGUUUCGGCAAGGGGGUCAUCCCGACUUACCAACCCGAUGCAAACUGCGAAUACCGGAGAAUGUUAUCACGGGAGACACACGGCGGGUGCUAACGUCCGUCGUGAAGAGGGAAACAACCCAGACCGCCAGCUAAGGUCCCAAAGUCAUGGUUAAGUGGGAAACGAUGUGGGAAGGCCCAGACAGCCAGGAUGUUGGCUUAGAAGCAGCCAUCAUUUAAAGAAAGCGUAAUAGCUCACUGGUCGAGUCGGCCUGCGCGGAAGAUGUAACGGGGCUAAACCAUGCACCGAAGCUGCGGCAGCGACACUAUGUGUUGUUGGGUAGGGGAGCGUUCUGUAAGCCUGUGAAGGUGUGCUGUGAGGCAUGCUGGAGGUAUCAGAAGUGCGAAUGCUGACAUAAGUAACGAUAAAGCGGGUGAAAAGCCCGCUCGCCGGAAGACCAAGGGUUCCUGUCCAACGUUAAUCGGGGCAGGGUGAGUCGACCCCUAAGGCGAGGCCGAAAGGCGUAGUCGAUGGGAAACAGGUUAAUAUUCCUGUACUUGGUGUUACUGCGAAGGGGGGACGGAGAAGGCUAUGUUGGCCGGGCGACGGUUGUCCCGGUUUAAGCGUGUAGGCUGGUUUUCCAGGCAAAUCCGGAAAAUCAAGGCUGAGGCGUGAUGACGAGGCACUACGGUGCUGAAGCAACAAAUGCCCUGCUUCCAGGAAAAGCCUCUAAGCAUCAGGUAACAUCAAAUCGUACCCCAAACCGACACAGGUGGUCAGGUAGAGAAUACCAAGGCGCUUGAGAGAACUCGGGUGAAGGAACUAGGCAAAAUGGUGCCGUAACUUCGGGAGAAGGCACGCUGAUAUGUAGGUGAAGUCCCUCGCGGAUGGAGCUGAAAUCAGUCGAAGAUACCAGCUGGCUGCAACUGUUUAUUAAAAACACAGCACUGUGCAAACACGAAAGUGGACGUAUACGGUGUGACGCCUGCCCGGUGCCGGAAGGUUAAUUGAUGGGGUUAGCCGCAAGGCGAAGCUCUUGAUCGAAGCCCCGGUAAACGGCGGCCGUAACUAUAACGGUCCUAAGGUAGCGAAAUUCCUUGUCGGGUAAGUUCCGACCUGCACGAAUGGCGUAAUGAUGGCCAGGCUGUCUCCACCCGAGACUCAGUGAAAUUGAACUCGCUGUGAAGAUGCAGUGUACCCGCGGCAAGACGGAAAGACCCCGUGAACCUUUACUAUAGCUUGACACUGAACAUUGAGCCUUGAUGUGUAGGAUAGGUGGGAGGCUUAGAAGUGUGGACGCCAGUCUGCAUGGAGCCGACCUUGAAAUACCACCCUUUAAUGUUUGAUGUUCUAACGUUGACCCGUAAUCCGGGUUGCGGACAGUGUCUGGUGGGUAGUUUGACUGGGGCGGUCUCCUCCUAAAGAGUAACGGAGGAGCACGAAGGUUGGCUAAUCCUGGUCGGACAUCAGGAGGUUAGUGCAAUGGCAUAAGCCAGCUUGACUGCGAGCGUGACGGCGCGAGCAGGUGCGAAAGCAGGUCAUAGUGAUCCGGUGGUUCUGAAUGGAAGGGCCAUCGCUCAACGGAUAAAAGGUACUCCGGGGAUAACAGGCUGAUACCGCCCAAGAGUUCAUAUCGACGGCGGUGUUUGGCACCUCGAUGUCGGCUCAUCACAUCCUGGGGCUGAAGUAGGUCCCAAGGGUAUGGCUGUUCGCCAUUUAAAGUGGUACGCGAGCUGGGUUUAGAACGUCGUGAGACAGUUCGGUCCCUAUCUGCCGUGGGCGCUGGAGAACUGAGGGGGGCUGCUCCUAGUACGAGAGGACCGGAGUGGACGCAUCACUGGUGUUCGGGUUGUCAUGCCAAUGGCACUGCCCGGUAGCUAAAUGCGGAAGAGAUAAGUGCUGAAAGCAUCUAAGCACGAAACUUGCCCCGAGAUGAGUUCUCCCUGACUCCUUGAGAGUCCUGAAGGAACGUUGAAGACGACGACGUUGAUAGGCCGGGUGUGUAAGCGCAGCGAUGCGUUGAGCUAACCGGUACUAAUGAACCGUGAGGCUUAACCUU
rnacentral:rRNA from 1 species